rnacentral:rRNA from 1 species
GCUUACGGCCAUACCACCCUGAGCGCGCCCGAUCUCGUCUGAUCUCGGAAGCUAAAGCAGGGUCGGGCCUGGUUAGUACUUGGAUGGGAGACCGCCUGGGAAUACCAGGUGCUGUAAGCU